GACGAACGCUGGCGGCGUGCUUAACACAUGCAAGUCGAACGGGUCUGCCCUGUUUUUUGCGGGGUGGGUCAGUGGCGAACGGGUGAGUAACACGUGAGUAACCUGCCCCUCACUUCUGGAUAACCGCUUGAAAGGGUGGCUAAUACGGGGUGUUCUGGCUGUGCCGCAUGGUGUGGCUGGGAAAGAUUCACUUUUGUGGUGUUUUGGUGGGGGAUGGGCUCGCGGCCUAUCAGCUUGUUGGUGGGGUGAUGGCCUGCCAAGGCUUUGACGGGUAGCCGGCCUGAGAGGGUGGGCGGUCACACUGGGACUGAGAUACGGCACAGACUCCUGCGGGAGGCAGCAGUGGGGGGUAUUGCACAAUGGGCGGAAGCCUGAUGCAGCGACGUCGCGUGAGGGAUGGAGGCCUUCGGGUUGUGAACCUUUUUCGCCGGUGAAGAAGGUCCUGCUCUUUGUGGUGGGGUUGACGGUAGCCGGGUUAUGAAGCGCCGGCUAACUACGUG
rnacentral:rRNA from 1 species